rnacentral:rRNA from 1 species
ACAUGCCUACAACAUAGCAUUAGUGCACCAGAUCCCAUUGGAACUCUGCAGUUAAGUGUGCUUAGGGUAGAGUAGUACUGGGAUGGGUGACCACCCGGGAAGUCCUAGUGUUUUACAUGCC